UCUUCUUCUCUCUUUCUUUUUCUUUGUUUGCUUCUUUCCCCUUCUCGCUUAAUAUGGGGGGGAGAUAGAGAAAGGUCGGAAGAAGAAAGAAGACAGAGGUUGUGAGUUGACAUUAUCUCGACCAUUUCCUGGAUCAGACUUUCACUCACUAUUUCAAAAGCAGGAAUAACAAUCACAACCCUCCU
rnacentral:ribozyme from 13 species